rnacentral:rRNA from 1 species
UACGUAUGUCCCGAGCGUUAUCCGGAUUUAUUGGGCGUAAAGCGAGCGCAGACGGUUGAUUAAGUCUGAUGUUAAAGCACGGAGCUCAACUCCGUAAUGGCGUUGGAAACUAGUUAACUUGAGUGCAGUAGAGGUAAGUGGAACUCCAAGUGUAGCGGUGGAAUGCGUAGAUAUAAGGAAGAACACCAGUGGCGAAGGCGGGUUACUGGACUGUAACUGACGUUGAGGCACGAAAGUGUGGGUAGCAAACAGG